rnacentral:lncRNA from 1 species
UCUCAAAGCCAGACCCAAGUGUUAAUGGUCAAGCUGCUUAGCGCAGGUCACCCUGCUUUCUAGUGGCUGUCCCUGGCUACUCCACCAGGACACUCCUUUACCUGAUACUUUGGGUUCCAGAAAUACUCUUUGCAUCUCUUUCUAUUCCUCCAUGACUCUUACCUUCUUUCUUUUGUCCUUGCUGCAGCUCCUGGAUGAAAUGUCCAUCUUCCUUUCCUUCUCUAGGCUAACUCUUCUUCCUGUGUCAGAGCCCUGCUGAGGAGUCAGUUUCCCUCCAGGAAACCUCACAACCCUCCACACUGCUGAGGGGACCAUAUAUUUGCACCACCCUGCCCCAAGCUUGCAUAGGCAAGAUGAUAAGGAACACAAUUAUGUUUUAAAAGUUCUGGUUGCUGGUGACCUGGCCUCAGCCAGGCACAAUUUGACAUUUAUUUCCUGGCGUGCUACAGCAGCGGAAUGUUAUCUUGGGAUAUUGAUUUGUGUUGUGCUUGUUGCAUGUUCCAUUUCCCCAUUUAAGCAGGCGGCUGGCAAGACUUUGGAAUCUUUACCUCGGGGACGAUAAUAGAAACUGCUCAAGUGGAAUCUUCCUGCCUUUUGUCCAGUGACUGUGUUAAUCGUCCUGAAUGGGAUGGAGAGGAAGGGGUGGGGCUGUGGAUGGUACUUUUGUGGACAAACAAGAAGAGAAAAGAGAGACUCCUCAAAGGGGACAAGGGUAAUAAAGCUUGGUAAAUCUGGGCAGGGCUCUGGGCCAGCAGAAAGACCUCAGAGAUGGGACAGGGAGUGUUGGAGGGGGCUGGACCCUUUCACAAGGUUUCCAGCCUGGCCAGAGGCUCCUGAUCCCCAAGAGAGGCCAGGAGAUGGCAGAGGUGCUGGCCGUGACGGGAUCCUGUGGGCCGGGACAUUAGGUACUGCAGCAGAAAUCAGAUGGAUGAAGAACGCCUUCCUGAUGUCCCAGUGCCCUAUACGGCUCAGCCCCGGGAGGCAGGGAACCCCAGCAGGACUGUGAUAGCAUUUUCUGUGUGCUGGAAUUGGACUCAAAUUGAUUUAAAGAAAAUAGAAAGGCUGGGCGCCAUGGCUCACGCCUGUAAUCCCAGCACUUUGGGAGGCUGAGGCGGGUGGAUCACCUGAGGUCAGGGGUUCGAGAACAGCCUGGCCAACAUGCGAAACCCCAUCGCUACUAAAAGUACAAAAAUCAACUGGGUGUGGUGUGGGGCGCCUGUAGUCCCAGCUACUCGAGAGGCUGAGGCAGGAGAAUUGCUUGAACCUGGGGGUCUGGAGGGUGCAGUGAGCCAAGAUCAUGCCACUGCACUCCAGCCUGGGUGAAAAAGUGAAAUUUUGUCUCAAAAAAAAAAAAAAAAGAAAAAA